AUAGACCGCUAGGGGGAUGCGUGACACGUGCAAGUCGAGCGAGUGGCGGACGGGUGAGUAAUAUAUCGGAACGUGCCCAGUAGCGGGGGAUAACUACUCGAAAGAGUGGCUAAUACCGAAUAAUAUAGGAGCGGCCGAUAUCGGAUUAGCUAGUUGGUGGGGUAAAGGAUCACCAAGGCAACGAUCCGUAGCUGGUUUGAGAGGACGACCAGCCACACUGGGACUUAGACACGGCCCAGACUCCUACGGUAGGCAGCAGUGGGGAAUUUUGGACAAUGGGUGAAACCCUGAUCCAGCCAUCCCGCGUGUAUGAGAAGGCCUUCGGGUUGUAAAGUACUUUUGGCAGAGAAGCGGUAUCUGCAGAAUAAGCACCGGCUAACUACGUGCCAGCAGCCGCGGUAAUAC
rnacentral:rRNA from 1 species